rnacentral:lncRNA from 1 species
UGCUUUCUUCUUGAGUAUGCUGUCUAAUGCAAUAUAGUUGGUGGCGAAUCGAGUGGUAGCUGGACGAAUAAUUUCUCCUUUGCAAAAUUCACGCAUCUUUGGCAACAACCAACCGUGAUUGUAAAUAUAAUUUGUGAUCGUUCUAGCUCUUUUGACCACAGUAGCAACAUUCUCUCUCUUCCCCAUUGCCUCAAACAUGAGAUCAAUACAAUGUGCUGCACAUGAUGUCCAAAACACAUUAUGAUGCUUCAUUAACUUUUUUCCAGCUUUGACAAAUGUAGAACCGUUGUCGGUCACGACUUGGACAACAUUAUGCUCUCCCACCUCCAUGAUUACAUCCCUCAAUAAUUUGUAAAUAU